CUUUGAAUCAAUUCACAACCCAACAGAUACAAAUCUGAUUCUAACCAAUUCAAUUCAAUUAAAGACCACCAGAGCCUUUUAAGCGUUUCAAUAUGAAAUUCUUCUUGAUGACACUUUUCGUUUGCUUUGCUAUCGUAUUAGCAAUGGCUGCAGCUGCUCCAUCCGAAGAAGGUAUUUUUGGUGAUUUACCAGACAGUGAUAUUGCCAACCCACAAGAGCCCAGUGAAUCACUUAAAUUGUUGCUGUUGAAGAAACUUAAGCUCAAGUUAUUGAGGGGUUGAUCUGUUUAGAGAUUGAUUAUGACUGAACUACACACCAAAAUGUACUAUUUUUAAGUUAUUUUUAUUGAAUAAAACAUAUUUAAGAAAAAAUCAUAUU